CCUGUGAGGGUUGCUGGAGGUAUCAGAAGUGCGAAUGCUGACAUAAGUAACGAUAAAGCGGGUGAAAAGCCCGCUCGCCGGAAGACCAAGGGUUCCUGUCCAACGUUAAUCGGGGCAGGGUGAGUCGACCCCUAAGGCGAGGCCGAAAGGCGUAGUCGAUGGGAAACAGGUUAAUAUUCCUGUACUUGGUGUUACUGCGAAGGGGGGACGGAGAAGGCUAUGUUGGCCGGGCGACGGUUGUCCCGGUUUAAGCGUGUAGGCUGGUUUUCCAGGCAAAUCCGGAAAACCAAGGCUGAGGCGUGAUGACGAGGCACUACGGUGCUGAAGCGACAAAUGCCCUGCUUCCAGGAAAAGCCUCUAAGCAUCAGGUAACAUCAAAUCGUACCCCAAACCGACACAGGUGGUCAGGUAGAGAAUACCAAGGCGCUUGAGAGAACUCGGGUGAAGGAACUAGGCAAAAUGGUGCCGUAACUUCGGGAGAAGGCACGCUGAUAUGUAGGUGAAGCGACUUGCUC
rnacentral:rRNA from 1 species